UAUAGAAAGAGGAGAGAACGGAAAUCAAGGGGACAAGUAGCCAUUCUGCCACCUCCCACGCAGGACUUGACAACCUAGCUCCUGCUGGCGCUGCUGCCUCCCUGCGGAGCCUGUGUGUCCCAGCGGCUGGUCUGCCGGGUGCCUCCCGGGCCGGUCUUCCACGUGCGGCAGGCCCUCUUCCUGGAGAAGGUUUCGGCUCCCACAGAUCUGCACAGACCCUGGUCAUCCUUAAAGCCCAGCUGAAGCCCUCCUGUUCCAGGCAGCCGGCCCUAACGCCCUCAUUUGAGACAGCCACUCCCUGCUCAUGGCUCCUGACGAAACUCUUCCUUCCUCUGCUCUCGCACACCUGAACUUCGCAAGAACUUUGAGCAUCCCUUUCAAAUGGAGGGGCUGGAUCCUGCAGGUUAUCCCAAAGCUCAUGGUUUGAAACAGCCAGCAAGCGUGGGCCGGGAGUCCAGCUCUGAGGCGGCUCUGGAUCACUGUCUCUCGUGGGCUGUGCAGAGCCGUGGGACUGGGACCUCGGGCUUAUCUGAAGACUCAGCUCAGGGGAUUUGCUCCCAAACUCACUCGCAUGGCUGUCGACUUAGCCCCUCGCCACCUGGGCUUGUCCACGGGGCUACCCCCCAGUGCAGCAGCUGACACCACCCAGGAUUCAAGAGACAGCCAGAAAUCAUGGCCACGACAGAACCACAGGCUUUGCAACUGGAUCUCAGGAGCCACAUCACAUCUUCUCUGCUCCCUCCGUCCCUAGAAUCCAGUCCUGAGUCACGCAGUCCAGUCCACAUCAGGGACAGGGGACUGUGCUGGGUAUGAGCACGGGGGGCCACCCCUGAGGUACCCACUGUGGUGGCAGCAGCACCUACUGGGCAGAGCGGCCUUGAGAACUGAGAAUCUGCAGCUUGGUACCCAGCCUCCCAGCGCUCGUGGCUCAGUGAGUGUGAGAGCCAUCUCCGAGGAAGCGUGCUCCUCCUCCUGCUACAUCACGGCUUAAUUCCUCAAUGUCGGUGCCUCCCGUAUCCCAGGCUCUCUCUGGUGUCGAGGGACACCCAGAUGAAUGAGAUGUGGCCCCUGACCUGGAGAAUCCCGCAUUUAAAAUGGGGUGUGGCAGGUGCUUUGAUGUGGGGGAGGCAAAGGGGAGGUGUCCCGCAGCUGUGAGCAGCAUCGCAUGUGCCCGGGGGCCCCCGGGUGGGCAUCCUCCCAUCAGACCCCUCCAGUGAGCCCAGCUGCAAUGGGACGAUUAACCCGUGUUCAGCGCUACCGAGCCGUGAAUCUCGGUGAGCGGGUGUGUGCUGCCUCUAAAUGAGC
rnacentral:lncRNA from 1 species